GCUUAAAGUGCCCCUAAUGCUUCAAACUUUUUUUAGCGAUAUCACAUCUUGGCAUGAUUUCUAGUAUUUCAGUGAAAAAAAUUUUAAAUUUGGGCAAAUCCUUCGAUUUUUAUGGCGUUUUGAAUUCAGCUUUCGAUGGGCCGGCGCCGUCGUAUUUUGUAACCACAAAGAGCCUGGGUCGAGCCAGUUUUCUGACGUCAUCCAAGGUAGUCGGCAUUUAGCCUUGAUUAACUUGUAUAAUUUCAAAUUCCGCCAUUUUUGCUUUGCUUUACUUGUCUUCGGUCGAAGUUUUAAAG